AGCCUCAACGGCCCUUAAAGAAAUCACAAGUCCGAUUCAAGAUCAAGUGUCCACCACCCUUGAAUCAAAUCCAGUUCAAGAUUAAGUCUGUGGAAAGUCCUUUGGAGGAAACCAGAAAACUCCUCCAGCCUAGUUCAAGAUCAAAGCUGUGGAAAGUCAACAAGCGCAACAAAAUACGUGCCGAUUCAUUCACUACCAAAGCCAAAGAUCAUCUACCACGUAAAGCUCCUUGUGGUCCAAAUUCAAAGUUCAAGAUCAAGCCUCGACGGCCCUUGAAGAAAUUUCAAACAAAAUUCAAGAACAAGCCUCAACGGCACUUGAAGAAAUUACCAGCCCAGUUCAAGAUCAAGCUUCAACGGCCAUUGGAUCGACAACUACAUUAAGGGACUUCAAAACGCAUCUUCUACAUGUAACAAGCACAUGU
rnacentral:lncRNA from 1 species